rnacentral:misc_RNA from 1 species
GGGCGGGGUUUGCAUAGGCUUCGGAGCAGAUUUCAAGUUGUAUUCGGCAGGUCUUGACUGGGUGCAAUUGUGCAUAUUGCACGUCGUCCUGAACGAAAAAUUGACAUUGCCACAGCUAGGACAUGUCCAGUCAUCUUCGCGUCUGCCACCAUCAGUUCGGGCACGCUUGCCGGCCGAGGAAUUCCUGCUGUCCACCUGAGACAUGGCUGACGGUUGUGAGGGGCGGAUCUGGGAGGAAUCGGCCUGAAGAGAGUGAGGC